rnacentral:rRNA from 1 species
AACGAACGCUGGCGGCAGGCUUAACACAUGCAAGUCGAACGCCCCGCAAGGGGAGUGGCAGACGGGUGAGUAACGCGUGGGAACGUGCCCUUCGCUUCGGAAUAGCCCCGGGAAACUGGGAGUAAUACCGAAUACGCCGUAUUGGGAAAGAUUUAUCGGCGAAGGAUCGGCCCGCGUUAGAUUAGGUAGUUGGCGGUGUAAUGGACCACCAAGCCUACGAUCUAUAGCUGGUCUGAGAGGAUGAUCAGCCACACUGGGACUGAGACACGGCCCAGACUCCUACGGGAGGCAGCAGUGGGGAAUCUUGGACAAUGGGCGCAAGCCUGAUCCAGCCAUGCCGCGUGAGUGAAGAAGGCCUUAGGGUUGUAAAACUCUUUCGCCGGAGAAGAUAAUGACGGUAUCCGGAGAAGAAGCCCCGGCUAACUUCGUGCCAGCCGCCGCGGUAAAAC